rnacentral:lncRNA from 1 species
CCAGAACACUCCCCUUUCCCCUCCUCUCCUAGGGUUUCACAGUGACGCUUCCUCACCACCGCCGUCGCAGAGAUGCAGUCCCUCGUGCCCUUCAGUACGGCUUCGUCCGCAAGGCCUAUGGCGUCCGGACCGGCGAGACGCUGUGCCCGGGGAUCUCGUGCGAGGAGAGCGCCAUCCACAAGGUAUACGACAUCCUCGCCGCGUAGCUGCUCCUCACCACCGUCGUAUCCUCCCUCACUGUAGUGUCUCAAGCCUACGAAGCAGCCUCGCUCCACCUGCCGCCGUUGACUGGUCCACCCCUUCUGUAAUCCUUACUGUUUCACGCUCGCUCCGCAGGCUCGCUCCACCCACCACCGGUGGUCGGUAUGUACCCAGAUUUCUUUGGAUUCUUCGGUUGGUUUGCUGGUGUGCUCAAAUUUGGGUGGCUAAGCAGGUGGUUGGGCGAGACAUCUUGCCACCCACCAUGUUUAUGUUUGUGAUUUAUUCGUGUUUUUUUCCUCCCAUUAGGUCGACGAUGGUAGCCAUAAUCUAUACCAAUAUAUAAUAAUCAUAUAACAUAGCGGUUGUUGUUGAAUAAUUGCGCUUAAUAAUGAGUUUGAGCGGCAAGCCUUGAUUUUUUGGUACUUCUUGGUUUUAAAUGUUAGGUUGUGCAAUUCUCUAUAGCUGUAUGAGCAUUUGGAGCCUCGUUGCUGGACAAGGUGAUAUGCAUGGACUUUUUUUGCUACAAAAUUUAUGCUUCAAAUAGAAGCUCAUGUUCACAGGAAUUAACUCUCUUAUGUAUAGCAACAUUCUAUAGGCCUUGGAGUGUGCAUGCUUAUUUGUGCUAAUUGGGAGUGGUGAUAGGUACACUGACAUAAUUCUUGUUUCUAUUUUUAGGGGGUGAUUUAUUCAUUGGAGUUUACUGCAUUUAGGUUGCUCAAGAUUCAGUUUUGCUUAGACCAUCAGAUAAAGUUAGUCGUGGCAUUGGAUCAUCUAAAAAUUAUAUUUAUAUGGAUGGUCAAAUGUGAUGUAUGCUCAAGAUUUAUCUUAUUACAUUUCUUGGAUGUUUAUUGGCCUACUUCAGCUCUACUAGCACAUACUCUGACUUCAGAUUGGACAUGAGAGAGAGACUGCAAAUUUGUCUGAUGCAAAAAAAUCAUCGAUAAGUCAAACCUUCAGAUAAAGUCAGUCAUGGCAUUGGAUCAUCUAAAAAUUAUAUUUAUGUUCAAGCUAAGAAGGAGGCUCAUGUCAAAGAGGUACGUACAUUCUAUUCCUUUUCGACAAAAGUUGUUGUAGGAGGGACAAUCUAAAAGUAUUGUGCAAGAUAUAGAGCAUGCACUCAUCAUAUCUAAGUGAUCGGAGUGAUAUUGAUUAGCUUAUUAGAUGGAUAUUGGCCCAGUUUAUCUUUCAUUUUUUUCUAUAGCUGUUAGAAUUUUACUUUGCUCAGUUCAUACUAUAAAUAAUAUGAGACUCUUGUUUUGUGGUCCAAGUGUUUAGCGCUUAGGGUGCCUUGGAAGUACGCUAGCUUGUUGUCAUGAAGAAGUCAUUCAAGUUCCUUCCAGUGAGUUAUUAGUUCUUAUGUAUAUUUCUGUAACAUGUAAUUUUACAAUCUUUAUGCACAUUGGAGGUGUAUUUUACGACAUAAUUAAGCAUCAUAAACAAAUAUAUUUUAGAGUAGAAAGAAGGACAAUGCACUCCAUUAUGUUUUAAACAUUGACUUUUAUGUUUACCUCAUUGCAACCUUUUCAGGCACUUCCUAUAUUUCUUGACAUAAUGUUUCAUCAUGUUCUUGGUGUAAUAUU